UACGUAGGGGCCUAGCGUUGUCCGGAUUUAUUGGGCGUAAAGAGCUCGUAGGCGGUUCGGCAAGUCGGAUGUGAAAUCUCCACGCUUAACGUGGAGGGGCCAUUCGAAACUGCCGUGACUCGAGUCCGGUAGGGGAGUGUGGAAUUCCCGGUGUAGCGGUGAAAUGCGCAGAUAUCGGGAGGAACACCAGUGGCGAAGGCGACUUCCUGGCCUGUUCUUGACGCUGAGGCGCGAAAGCUAGGGUAGCAAACAGG
rnacentral:rRNA from 1 species